rnacentral:rRNA from 1 species
AUUGAACGCUGGCGGCAGGCUUAACACAUGCAAGUCGAACGAGUGGCGGACGGGUGAGUCAUGCAUAGGAAUCUACCUUUUAGUCUAGGAUAACUACCCGAAAGGGUGGCUAAUACUGGAUGCUAAGAGCUGAGCCUAUGUGGGAUUGGCUAGUUGUUGGGGUAAUGGCUCACCAAGGCGACGGUCUCUAGCCGGUUUGAGAGGAUGGUCAGCCACACUUGGACUGAGACACGGCCCAGACUCCUACGGGAGGCAGCAGGGGGGAAUAUUGGGAAAUGGGCGAAAGCCUGAUCCAGCAAUACCGCGUGUGUGAAGAAGGCCCUAGGGUUGUAAAGCACUUUUGUUAGGGAGAUGUUACCUAAAGAAUAAGCACCGGCUAACUCCGUGCCAGCAGCCGCGGUAAUUC